rnacentral:tRNA from 1 species
GCCUUAGCUAAAUUAAAGGUUCUGAUUGCCAUUCAGGAGAUGUGUUUUAGUGCUUCACAGGUCUUA